UACGAAGGGGGCGAGCGUUGUUCGGAUUUACUGGGCGUAAAGGGCGCGUAGGCGGCGGGUCAAGUCGAGUGUGAAAGCCCCGGGCUCAACCUGGGAAGUGCACCCGAAACUGCAACGCUAGAGUCUCGGAGAGGAUCGUGGAAUUCUCGGUGUAGAGGUGAAAUUCGUAGAUAUCGAGAGGAACACCGGUGGCGAAGGCGGCGAUCUGGACGAUGACUGACGCUGAGACGCGAAAGCGUGGGGAGCAAACAGG
rnacentral:rRNA from 1 species